GAUGAAGAACGCAGCGAAAUGUGAUAAGUAAUGUGAAUUGCAGAAUUCAGUGAAUCAUCGAAUCUUUGAACGCACAUUGCGCCCCUUGGUAUUCCGAGGGGCAUGCCUGUUCGAGCGUCAUUAUAACCCCUCAAGCUCAGCUUGGUGUUGGGGCCUGCCGCACGGGCAGCCCUUAAAAUCAGUGGCGGUGCCAUCUGGCUCUAAGCGUAGUAAUUCUUCUCGCUAUAGAGUCCCGGUGGAUGCUUGCCAUUAACCCCCAAUUUUCUAUGGUUGACCUCGGAUCAGGUAGGGAUACCCGCUGAACUUAAGCAUAUCAAUAAGCGGAGGA
rnacentral:misc_RNA from 1 species